UAACAAUAGUUAAUGGGAAGC
ensembl:piRNA 21ur-3007 ncRNA